rnacentral:rRNA from 1 species
UGUUUCGGCUAGGGGGCCAUCCCGGCUUACCAACCCGAUGCAAACUGCGAAUACCGGAGAAUGUUAUCACGGGAGACACACGGCGGGUGCUAACGUCCGUCGUGAAGAGGGAAACAACCCAGACCGCCAGCUAAGGUCCCAAAGUCAUGGUUAAGUGGGAAACGAUGUGGGAAGGCCCAGACAGCCAGGAUGUUGGCUUAGAAGCAGCCAUCAUUUAAAGAAAGCGUAAUAGCUCACUGGUCGAGUCGGCCUGCGCGGAAGAUGUAACGGGGCUAAACCAUGCACCGAAGCUGCGGCAGCGGCACGCAAGUGUUGUUGGGUAGGGGAGCGUUCUGUAAGCCGCUGAAGGUGUGCUGUGAGGCAUGCUGGAGGUAUCAGAAGUGCGAAUGCUGACAUAAGUAACGAUAAAGCGGGUGAAAAGCCCGCUCGCCGGAAGACCAAGGGUUCCUGUCCAACGUUAAUCGGGGCAGGGUGAGUCGACCCCUAAGGCGAGGCCGAAAGGCGUAGUCGAUGGGAAACGGGUUAAUAUUCCCGUACUUGGUGUUACUGCGAAGGGGGGACGGAGAAGGCUAUGUUGGCCGGGCGACGGUU